GGCGGCGUGCUUAACACAUGCAAGUCGAGCGGUAAGGCCCUUUCGGGGGUACACGAGCGGCGAACGGGUGAGUAACACGUGGGUGACCUGCCCUCAGCUCUGGGAUAAGCCUGGGAAACCGGGUCUAAUACCGGAUAGGACCUGCUUCUGCAUGGGAGUGGGUGGAAAGUUUUUUCGGCUGGGGAUGGGCCCGCGGCCUAUCAGCUUGUUGGUGGGGUGAUGGCCUACCAAGGCGACGACGGGUAGCCGGCCUGAGAGGGCGACCGGCCACACUGGGACUGAGACACGGCCCAGACUCCUACGGGAGGCAGCAGUGGGGAAUAUUGCGCAAUGGGCGGAAGCCUGACGCAGCGACGCCGCGUGGGGGAUGACGGCCUUCGGGUUGUAAACCUCUUUCGCCAGGGACGAAGAGCGAAUUGACGGUACCUGGAGAAGAAGCACCGGCCAACUACGUGCCAGCAGCCGCGGUAAUACGUAGGGUGCGAGCGUUGUCCGGAAUUAUUGGGCGUAAAGAGCUCGUAGGCGGUGUGUCGCGUCGGUCGUGAAAACUUGGGGCUUAACCCUGAGCUUGCGGUCGAUACGGGCAUCACUNGAGUUCGGCAGGGGAGACUGGAAUUCCUGGUGUAGCGGUGAAAUGCGCAGAUAUCAGGAGGAACACCGGUGGCGAAGGCGGGUCUCUGGGCCGAUACUGACGCUGAGGAGCGAAAGCGUGGGGAGCGAACAGGAUUAGAUACCCUGGUAGUCCACGCCGUAAACGGUGGGCGCUAGGUGUGGGGGCCAUUCCACGGUCUCUGUGCCGCAGCUAACGCAUUAAGCGCCCCGCCUGGGGAGUACGGCCGC
rnacentral:rRNA from 1 species